rnacentral:rRNA from 1 species
CCUACGGGGGGGCAGCAGUGGGGAAUAUUGGACAAUGGGGGGAACCCUGAUCCAGCCAUGCCGCGUGUGUGAAGAAGGCCCUCGGGUUGUAAAGCACUUUCAGUGAGGAAGAACGCCUGGUGGUUAAUACCCAUCAGGAAAGACAUCACUCACAGAAGAAGCACCGGCUAACUCCGUGCCAGCAGCCGCGGUAAUACGGAGGGUGCGAGCGUUAAUCGGAAUUACUGGGCGUAAAGCGCGCGUAGGUGGCUUGAUAAGCCGGUUGUGAAAGCCCCGGGCUCAACCUGGGAACGGCAUCCGGAACUGUCAAGCUAGAGUGCAGGAGAGGAAGGUAGAAUUCCCGGUGUAGCGGUGAAAUGCGUAGAGAUCGGGAGGAAUACCAGUGGCGAAGGCGGCCUUCUGGACUGACACUGACACUGAGGUGCGAAAGCGUGGGUAGCAAACAGGAUUAGAUACCCGAGUAGUC